rnacentral:rRNA from 1 species
UAAAGGAAUUGGCGGGGGAGUACACAAGGGGUGGGGUCUGCGGUUCAAUUGGACUCAACGCCGGGAACCUUACCAGGGGCGACAGCAGGAUGAAGGUCAGUCUGAAGGGCUUACCAGACGCGCUGAGAGGUAUUGCAUGGCCGACGUCAGCUCGUGCCGUGAGGUGUGCCGCUAAGCCGGUUAACGAGCGAGACCCGUGCCCUCUGUUGCUACCUCCAUCUUUUGGUGGAGGGGCACUCAGAGGGGACUGCCUGCGCUAAGCAGGAGGAAGGUGCGGGCGACGUUAGGUCAGUAUGUUCCGAAUCCCCUGGGCUACACGCGGGCAACAAUGGCCGGGACAAUGGGAUGCGACCCCGAAAGGGGUAGGUAAUCCCCUAAACCCGGCCUUACCUGGGAUCGAGGGCUGCAACUCGCCCUCGUGAACCUGGAAUCCGUAGUAAUCGCGCCUCAAAAUGGCGCGGAGAAUACGUCCCUGCUCCUUGCACACACCGCCA